AGAGUUUGAUCCUGGCUCAGAUUGAACGCUGGCGGCAUGCCUUACAUAUGCAAGUCGAAUGGCAGCGUGGGAGUAAUCCUGGCGGCGAGUGGUGAAUGGGUGAGUAAUAUAUCGGAAUGUGUCUUGGAGUGGGGGAUAACUAGUCGAAAGACUGGUUAAUACCGCAUAUGAUUUAAGGAUGAAAGUGGGGGAUUGUAAGACCUCAUGCUCCUGGAGCGGCCGAUAUUUGAUUAGUUAGUUGGUGGGGUAAAGGCCCACCAAGGUGAUGAUUAGUAGCUGGUCUGAGAGGAUGACCAGCUAUAUUGGGAUUGAGAUAUGGCCCAGAUUUUUAUGGGAGGCAGCAGUGGGGAAUUUUGGACAAUGGGGGUAACCCUGAUCCAGCAAUGCCGCGUGUGUGAAGAAGGCCUUUGGGUUGUAAAGCACUUUUGUUCGGAAAGAAAUUGCCUGGGUUAAUAUCCUGGGUGGAUGACGGUACCGGAAGAAUAAGCACCGGUUAACUACGUGUUAGCAGCUGUGGUAAUACGUAGGGUGCAAGCGUUAAUCGGAAUUACUGGGCGUAAAGCGUGCGUAGGCGGUUGUGCAAGACAGAGGUGAAAUUCUCGGGUUUAACCUGGGAAUUGCCUUUGUGAUUGCACGGCUAGAGUGUGUUAGAGGGGGGUAGAAUUCCACGUGUAGCAGUGAAAUGCGUAGAUAUGUGGAGGAAUACCGAUGGUGAAGGUAGCCCCCUGGGAUAACACUGACGCUCAUGCACGAAAGCGUGGGGAGUAAAUAGGAUUAGAUAUCCUGGUAGUCCACGCCUUAAAUGAUGUCAACUAGUUGUUGGGGAUUAAUUUCCUUGGUAACGCAGUUAAUGCGUGAAGUUGACCGCCUGGGGAGUAUGGUCGCAAGAUUAAAACUCAAAGGAAUUGACCGG
rnacentral:rRNA from 1 species